AUUGGAUGUCCAGAAGACACUAGGCACUGUGAACACUGAGCAACGGAAGCAGGAGGGGGGCAGAAAGGAGCUGACGAAAGAUCUGAGCUGACAGAGGAAGUUCAGGCGCAGAACAGCGUGGACACGUGACACCCAUCAAACAAAGCCUGCUGGAAGAAAGUUACAUUUCAAGACUUACAGAUGAGGACUGACUGAGAUUUCCAAAAGCAGUCCAAACCACACCACACAGCUGAAGAUAAAAAGUGUUGUCGCUGUAUACUUUUACUUUGCCAGAAGAAUAUAAAUAAAAGCUUCAGACAAAUGCUGAUGGGGAGCGUCUACUACAGGACAGUGUCAGAAGCAAGGUAUGGAACAUAAAGAGCUGUGGCCUGAUUCAGUACGGUAGUUUUUACCGUUUUUCAUUUCUUCUUGCGGUGCCCUGAGCAGUCAACCCAAACGAGGUGUGCGUCCUACACGAUGCCACGAGUGCCUGAGGAAGUAGCACAGGGAUCCUUGCUCAGUUUCAAGUCAGUGGGAACAUUUUAGUGGACACGACACUCACCAAAGAAAGCAAGAGUUUUGUAGCUGGGUGC
rnacentral:lncRNA from 1 species